GGCAGCAGUGGGGAAUAUUGCACAAUGGGCGCAAGCCUGAUGCAGCCAUGCCGCGUGUAUGAAGAAGGCCUUCGGGUUGUAAAGUACUUUCAGCGGGGAGGAAGGGAGUAAAGUUAAUACCUUUGCUCAUUGACGUUACCCGCAGAAGAAGCACCGGCUAACUCCGUGCCAGCAGCCGCGGUAAUACGGAGGGUGCAAGCGUUAAUCGGAAUUACUGGGCGUAAAGCGCACGCAGGCGGUUUGUUAAGUCAGAUGUGAAAUCCCCGGGCUCAACCUGGGAACUGCAUCUGAUACUGGCAAGCUUGAGUCUCGUAGAGGGGGGUAGAAUUCCAGGUGUAGCGGUGAAAUGCGUAGAGAUCUGGAGGAAUACCGGUGGCGAAGGCGGCCCCCUGGACGAAGACUGACGCUCAGGUGCGAAAGCGUGGGGAGCAAACAGGAUUAGAUACCCGUGUAGUC
rnacentral:rRNA from 1 species